AGUGAACGCUGGCGGUAGGCCUAACACAUGCAAGUCGAACGGCAGCACAGUAAGAGCUUGCUCUUACGGGUGGCGAGUGGCGGACGGGUGAGGAAUACAUCGGAAUCUACUUUUUCGCGGGGGAUAACGUAGGGAAACUUACGCUAAUACCGCAUACGACCUACGGGUGAAAGCAGGGGAUCUUCGGACCUUGCGCGAUUGAAUGAGCCGAUGUCGGAUUAGCUAGUUGGCGGGGUAAAGGCCCACCAAGGCGACGAUCCGUAGCUGGUCUGAGAGGAUGAUCAGCCACACUGGAACUGAGACACGGUCCAGACUCCUACGGGAGGCGGCAGUGGGGAAUAUUGGACAAUGGGCGCAAGCCUGAUCCAGCCAUACCGCGUGGGUGAAGAAGGCCUUCGGGUUGUAAAGCCCUUUUGUUGGGAAAGAAAAGCAGCAGGUUAAUACCCCGCUGUUCUGACGGUACCCAAAGAAUAAGCACCGGCUAACUUCGUG
rnacentral:rRNA from 1 species